CAGCCGCCGCGGGAAUACAGAGGGUGCAAGCGUUAAUCGGAAUUACUGGUCGUAAAGCGCGCGUAGGUGGUUUGUUAAGUUGGAUGUGAAAGCCCCGGGCUCAACCUGGGAACUGCAUCCAAAACUGGCAAGCUAGAGUACGGUAGAGGGUGGUGGAAUUUCCUGUGUAGCGGUGAAAUGCGUAGAUAUAGGAAGGAACACCAGUGGCGAAGGCGACCACCUGGACUGAUACUGACACUGAGGUGCGAAAGCGUGGGGAGCAAACAGGAUUAGAUACCCCCGUAGUCCCUGUCUCUUAUAA
rnacentral:rRNA from 1 species